rnacentral:rRNA from 1 species
UACGUAGGUGGCAAGCGUUGUUCGGAAUUACUGGGCGUAAAGGGCGCGUAGGCGGCCUUCUAAGUCAGACGUGAAAUCCCCCGGCUUAACCUGGGAACUGCGUCUGAUACUGGGAGGCUUGAGUAUGGGAGAGGGAUGUAGAAUUCCAGGUGUAGCGGUGAAAUGCGUAGAUAUCUGGAGGAAUACCGGUGGCGAAGGCGGCAUCCUGGACCGACAUUGACGCUGAUGAGCGAAAGCUAGGGGAGCAAACGGG